GAUGAAGAACGUAGUGAAAUGCGAUACUUGGUGUGAAUUGCAGAAUCCCGUGAACCAUCGAGUCUUUGAACGCAAGUUGCGCCCGAAGCCACUAGGCCGAGGGCACGCCUGCCUGGGCGUCACACGUCGUUGCCCCCCCAUCUACUCCUUCGGGAUUGCGGGGGGGCGGAUGAUGGCCUCCCGUGCGCCUAGCCGCGCGGUUGGCAUAAAUACCAAGUCCUCGGCGACGCACGCCACGACAAUCGGUGGUUGCGAAACCUCGGUUGCCCGUCGUGUGCGUUCGUCGCGCAUCGAGGGCUCGAAAAAAUGCUCGGCUUCGGCUCGGCUUUCAACGCGACCCCAGGUCAGGCGGUGUUACCCGCUGAAUUUAAGCAUAUCAAUAAGCGGAGGA
rnacentral:misc_RNA from 1 species